rnacentral:sRNA from 1 species
ACAGAUAAAUAGAUACAUAGAUAGAUACAUAGAUACAUAAAAAUAAUUAUAUGUGCUAUUUUUUCUCUAAUUAGCUGAUAUAGACAUAAACAAAGAUAACUUUGACAAAAAAGGAUCAAACAAAAUCGGUUGUUAUCUAAAUCUUUUCAUGGAAGCCAUUGAGAAGGAUAAAUUCAAGGCAUCAUUGUAUUACUGGACAAAGCUAAACAACCUGAUCUGCUCAGCCUUGCUUGCUCAGCAGGUCUUGAAAAAGAAACUGGAGAAACAGAUUGUGGACAAUGACAAAGAUAAA